UGCUCAAUGACCCUUCAGACUCAGGCUGGUGAAGAGGAGAGAUGGUAGCUGAGGAAUAACUGGGAACCCAAGACCAGGAUAGGGGUGAUGUCAAGGGGAAGGUUGUUGAUGGGAAAGUGUUUGUAUCCAUCCCUGCGCAGGAAUCCAUUUUGAGGGGCCCCAUCAUGGAGCUGCCACAUGAAGCAUCUUGUUCAGGUGACAGAUGAAUGGAUUCUUGCCAUGCCACCAAAGGAAAUAGGAGGUUGCUCUCAAGGAUGAAUUUCAACUUGGGAAGUUGAUUUUAUAAUAAUAAUAAAAAAAACCCCACAAUCAGUGACUCUA